ACUUAUGCUGAUUUAAGGCAGCCUACAGGCAGUCUGACUCCUGCUAAGCAGCAGCACGGUAAGGGAUGCUCAUUGCAGGCUUCGUUUGGGGGUUUGUUUUUUCUCUCUGUUACUCUGAGAAACACCAGAAAUGUUUGUUGGAUUCUGGGUUGAUCCAGGCUUGUACAGGGGAGAAAAGGCAGGGAUGGGGGAGAAGGAAGGCUGAGAAUGGCCAGAGGUGCGAUGGUUUUGAGCAAAAAUCAGCCCUAAUGGGGAAACCCAAUGUGAGAAAAUGGAAGGCAGUGCAUGAAAUGGUGGCAGACGCAUCCUGGAUCCACGUGGCACGAUGGCUGCAGAGAUCACAGCCCUCCCAGCCACCAGCUGCCCCACACCGGGCUCGGUUCACAAGGGGCAGCUCAGCUUCCAGCCCAUGCUCUAUGGGACCUGAGGGCCUCCAUCACCUCCAAAACCACACGUGGAGGUGAUGUCCCUGUGCCCACCCGACCUCCAAUGGGAGCCCAUCCCGUGUGCUCUGCUGCUGUCACCCCUCUGUACCACCUCCUUCCCAGCUGGGAACCACUGGGAGAAACAGGGAAGGGUCAUGGGACCCCAGAACUGGAGGAAAGCAAGCAUCCAUCAACUUCUGCUCACACACAACAUGGGAAUCAAUGGGAAGGGUCACCAAAUUGUAGUGGAAACAAAGCAGCCAUCAACUUCUGUUACAGGUUGGUGGAGGGGCUCCUUCACAGAGUAAUUGUUUUUUGUAAAUGGAAAAGGUUUUCCAAAAUGUCUGAUUUAUAUAAUUGUGUGGGCUCUUGCAGUUCCAUGGGACUUCCAGAAAGUCAGUGUGCUGGGGGUGCUGCUGCUGCUGCUGCUGCUGCUGGUGGGGCUCAGCGUGUGGGUCUUUCAGAAAACAACUCCAUCUCCAAGCACUGCCCAGCACUGCCCUGAGACCAACGGGAUGAAGGGG
rnacentral:lncRNA from 1 species